GCGGGAAUCCGAUUAGAGUUUGAUCCUGGCUCAGAUGAAACGCUGGCGGCAGGCUUAACACAUGCAAGUCGAACGAUGAUUACUAGCUUGCUAGUAUGAUUAGUGGCGAACGGGUGAGUAAUGCUUAGGAAUCUACCUAUUAGUGGGGGACAACAUUCCGAAAGGAAUGCUAAUACCGCAUACGUCCUAUGGGAGAAAGCAGGGGAUCGUAAGACCUUGUGCUAAUAGAUGAGCCUAAGUCGGAUUAGCUAGUUGGUGGGGUAAAAGCCUACCAAGGCGACGAUCUGUAGCUGGUCUGAGAGGAUGAUCAGCCACACUGGGACUGAGACACGGCCCAGACUCCUACGGGAGGCAGCAGUGGGGAAUAUUGGACAAUGGGCGAAAGCCUGAUCCAGCCAUGCCGCGUGUGUGAAGAAGGCCUUUUGGUUGUAAAGCACUUUAAGUGGGGAGGAAAAGUUGACGGUUAAUACCCGCCAGCCCUGACGUUACCCACAGAAUAAGCACCGGCUAACUCUGUGCCAGCAGCCGCGGUAAUACAGAGGGUGCAAGCGUUAAUCGGAAUUACUGGGCGUAAAGCGAGCGUAGGUGGUCAUUUAAGUCAGAUGUGAAAUCCCCGGGCUUAACCUGGGAACUGCAUCUGAUACUGGGUGACUAGAGUAGGUGAGAGGGAAGUAGAAUUCCAGGUGUAGCGGUGAAAUGCGUAGAGAUCUGGAGGAAUACCGAUGGCGAAGGCAGCUUCCUGGCAUCAUACUGACACUGAGGUCGAAAGCG
rnacentral:rRNA from 1 species